rnacentral:tRNA from 1 species
ACCGCGGUGGUGGGCAGGGUAUUGGCGGGCAUGUCGAGCUCGACGAAGUCGAUCACCUCGCCGUUCAACCGGCGCCGCAGGU